GCCUGCCUCCGGGAUCGCUUAUCCAAGAAUACCCCAAAUGUUCAUGUGUCCAUAAGGAAGGUGAAAUUCAAAUUGUUGUGCGGCUUUCUGACCUGUCUGGAAUGGCCCUUGCUUCCAACAGGUAGCCAGCCUGGGGGGCACGUCUCCUCCGGGCACAUCCCAGCGCUGCUGUCCGGGAUGAGGAGGAAACACACGAAUGCUCGUCAAACUCCACAAGGAAACGUCUUCAUCCACCUUACACAUGCUGUGUGUACAUAUAUGAUAGAAUCACACCAAGAAAGAACUAAAAAAAUAAAAAUUAUGCCUAAAAUC